UGCUCGAUUGGGAAAGCCCGGUGAAAGUCCGGUACUGUGCCGCAACUGUAAAGUCCAAAUAACUUGAGACAGCAGGUUAUUGGAGUAAGUCAGAAUGCCAAUCGAGAA
rnacentral:ncRNA from 1 species